GACGAACGCUGGCGGCGUGCUUAACACAUGCAAGUCGAGCGGAAAGGCCACUUCGGUGGUACUCGAGCGGCGAACGGGUGAGUAACACGUGAGUAAUCUGCCCCUCACUUUGGGAUAGCCACCGGAAACGGUGAUUAAUACCGGAUAUGACCAUAUGUCGCAUGGCGUGUGGUGGAAAGUUUUUCGGUGAGGGAUGUGCUCGCGGCCUAUCAGCUUGAUGGUGAGGUAAUGGCUCACCAUGGCUUCGACGGGUAGCCGGCCUGAGAGGGUGACCGGUCACACUGGGACUGAGACACGGCCCAGACUCCUACGGGAGGCAGCAGUGGGGAAUAUUGGACAAUGGGCGGAAGCCUGAUCCAGCAACGCCGCGUGAGGGAUGACGGCCUUCGGGUUGUAAACCUCUUUCAGUACCGACGAAGCGCAGGUGACGGUAGGUACAGAAGAAGCACCGGCCAACUACGUG
rnacentral:rRNA from 1 species